rnacentral:rRNA from 1 species
GAUGAACGCUGGCGGCGUGCCUAAUACAUGCAAGUCGAGCGAACGGACGAGAAGCUUGCUUCUCUGAUGUUAGCGGCGGACGGGUGAGUAACACGUGGAUAACCUACCUAUAAGACUGGGAUAACUUCGGGAAACCGGAGCUAAUACCGGAUGAUAUUUUGAACCGCAUGGUUCAAAAGUGAAAGACGGUCUUGCUGUCACUUAUAGAUGGAUCCGCGCUGCAUUAGCUAGUUGGUAAGGUAACGGCUUACCAAGGCAACGAUGCAUAGCCGACCUGAGAGGGUGAUCGGCCACACUGGAACUGAGACACGGUCCAGACUCCUACGGGAAGCAGCAGUAGGGAAUCUUCCGCAAUGGGCGAAAGCCUGACGGAGCAACGCCGCGUGAGUGAUGAAGGUCUUCGGAUCGUAAAACUCUGUUAUUAGGGAAGAACAUAUGUGUAAGUAACUGUGCACAUCUUGACGGUACCUAAUCAGAAAGCCACGGCUAACUACGUG